CUCUUUUUAGUUCGGGACAUCCGAUAAAAUUAGAACGAUACAGAGAAGAUUAGUAUGGUGUAACGAUAACACGGAUAAAUCAAGAAAUGGUAUAAUUUUUU